CAGCAGCCGCGGUAAUACGUAGGUGGCAAGCGUUGUCCGGAAUUAUUGGGCGUAAAGGGCUCGCAGGCGGUUUCUUAAGUCUGAUGUGAAAGCCCCCGGCUCAACCGGGGAGGGUCAUUGGAAACUGGGAAACUUGAGUGCAGAAGAGGAGAGUGGAAUUCCACGUGUAGCGGCGAAAUGCGCAGAGAUGUGGAGGAACACCAGUGGCGAAGGCGACUCUCUGGUCUGUAACUGACGCUGAGGAGCGAAAGCGUGGGGAGCGAACAGGAUUAGAUACCCGGGUAGUCCCUGUCUCUUAUAC
rnacentral:rRNA from 1 species